rnacentral:rRNA from 1 species
AUUGAACGCUGGCGGCAGGCCUAACACAUGCAAGUCGAACGGUAACAGGAAGCAGCUUGCUGCUUUGCUGACGAGUGGCGGACGGGUGAGUAAUGUCUGGGAAACUGCCUGAUGGAGGGGGAUAACUACUGGAAACGGUAGCUAAUACCGCAUAACGUCGCAAGACCAAAGAGGGGGACCUUCGGGCCUCUUGCCAUCGGAUGUGCCCAGAUGGGAUUAGCUUGUUGGUGGGGUAACGGCUCACCAAGGCGACGAUCCCUAGCUGGUCUGAGAGGAUGACCAGCCACACUGGAACUGAGACACGGUCCAGACUCCUACGGGAGGCAGCAGUGGGGAAUAUUGCACAAUGGGCGCAAGCCUGAUGCAGCCAUGCCGCGUGUAUGAAGAAGGCCUUCGGGUUGUAAAGUACUUUCAGCGGGGAGGAAGGGAGUAAAGUUAAUACCUUUACUCAUUGACGUUACCCGCAGGAGAAGCACCGGCUAACUCCGUG